UACGUAGGCGGAAAAUUAAGUCAGUAGUGAAAUCCUGCAGCUUAACUGUAGAACUGUUAUUGAUACUGGUUUUCUUGAAUUUAGUUGAGGUAGGCGGAAUGUGUAAUGUAGCGGUGAAAUGCUUAGAUAUUACACAGAACGCCGAUUGCGAAGGCAGCUUACUAAGCUAUGAUUGACGCUGAGGUACGAAAGCGUGGGGAGCGAACAGGAUUAGAUACCCUGGUAGUC
rnacentral:rRNA from 1 species